rnacentral:rRNA from 1 species
UACGUAGGUGGUAAGCGUUGUCCGGAUUUACUGGGCGUAAAGAGCGCGCAGGCGGUCGAUUUAGUCGCGUGUGAAAGCCCCCGGCUCAACUGGGGAGGGUCACGCGAUACUGAUCGACUCGAAGGCAGGAGAGGGUAGUGGAAUUCCCGGUGUAGUGGUGAAAUGCGUAGAUAUCGGGAGGAACACCAGUGGCGAAGGCGACUACCUGGCCUGUUCUUGACGCUGAGGCGCGAAAGCUAGGGGAGCAAACGGG